UAGCUUUUCAGCAUCACUCUGAGAAAGGAUGUUUCUAAUUUUAGAAAUAUUGCGCAAAUGCAAAAAAUCUGUCCUACAGGUUUGGCAUAGUUGAGUUGUUUGAUGGCAAAAUUUGCUUUUGUUCCAUAUUUUUAAUGUUUUGGCACAGUUAGAGCCUUUUGCAGACAAAAUAUGUCAUUUUGACCACUGUGGCACUGUUUAGGCCUCUGCGUUAACUGUUUUGAAAAUGUGGAUUUUGAGUUGAUGGCUGCUUCAAAACAAUCAAUAAAAACUGUAAUCACAGUCUGUCAUGGGUCGGGGCAGGCUGUGUGGUUGGGAGUGUUUUCUGUCUUCCAGGUGGUCCGUUAAGGCAGGCAGCUGUUUCCUGUUGCUCAUCAAGGUCGGGAGUAUUUACGAGGGGCUGAAAUGCUGACUCGCUGCCAGAUUGUUGCUGUGCUCUUUGUGUAAUCCUCCUUGGUGUACCAACCUUUGUUUUCCUGCUCUGGAUUCCUUUCUACCCUACCUCUGAGCGGCGAUUCCAGCCACCACCACUCCAGAACCCAUCCACUCGGCCCUGCUCCCCUGCCUUCAUGUGCUUCUGCCAGCCUUGGACCACCUCACCCGGACUUACUCACCAACCUCAUCCCUGACCAGACCGUAAAACCUGAGUUCAGAAUUCUCCGUGCUCGCCAGAAAAUUCCACGCUCCCCUGUUUUCCCUAUUUGCAUUUAUUUUUGAAAUAAAGAC